rnacentral:rRNA from 1 species
UGGGGAAUAUUGCACAAUGGGCGAAAGCCUGAUGCAGCGACGCCGCGUGAGGGAUGACGGCCUUCGGGUUGUAAACCUCUUUCAGCAGGGAAGAAGCGAAAGUGACGGUACCUGCAGAAGAAGCGCCGGCUAACUACGUGCCAGCAGCCGCGGUAAUACGUAGGGCGCAAGCGUUGUCCGGAAUUAUUGGGCGUAAAGAGCUCGUAGGCGGUUAGUCGCGUCUGCUGUGAAAACUCGAGGCCCAACCUCGGGCUUGCAGUGGGUACGGGCUGACUAGAGUGCGGUAGGGGUGACUGGAAUUCCUGGUGUAGCGGUGGAAUGCGCAGAUAUCAGGAGGAACACCGAUGGCGAAGGCAGGUCACUGGGCCGCAACUGACGCUGAGGAGCGAAAGCAUGGGGAGCGAACAGGAUUAGAUACCCUGGUAGUCCAUGCCGUAAACGUUGGGCACUAGGUGUGGGGUCCAUUCCACGGAUUCCGUGCCGCAGCAAACGCAUUAAGUGCCCCGCCUGGGGAGUACGGCCGCAAGG